AUCAUAAUACUUUUUCAGAUUUUAGAAUGUGCCAAACGAAAUUCCUACAGUGUUUUUUUGGUUUUUAAUCUAAAACGUCUUAUUUGUUUAUAAAAACGGAUACCACCGUUUACUUCCAACAUUAAAAUUCAAUAUUGGGAAGUAUGUCUAAUUUAGCAUCGCUUAUUGAUCUAAAAUGUAUGAAAAAUAGGUGUUCUUCGACCACUGUUAUAGUUAAAUAAGGAUCAUU